rnacentral:tRNA from 1 species
GGUCUUAUAUUCAUAAUCUUGAUUUUAAAUUGCAAAUUUAAAGGUGAAUAAUUUUUAUUCUAAGGCUU